AUGAUUUUGUCUUUGAACUAUAAAAAAUUCUAUUCAAUUUAGGCUUAGAAACAAGAGGACAAUGACUAGCUUCAACCAAAACGAGCAAUUAAUUCUCUGUCCAGCCUUGUUUAGAGCUGAUAGCAAUUGAAUAAAUAAGAGAAGAAAACGUAAGGAUAUAUGCAGCUUCAGUUAAAUAAUAAAACCAUAUAUUGAGCUUCUUUAGUACGGCAGAAACAACAUAAGUCACCACAUGAGGAGGAAAUCAGAACCAUUAUUGAUUCUCUUAUUAAAAAAGAAAAAAAGAAAACCUACAAACUCAAAAACCUAUGAUAUUAUAAAUUCUCUUGAGGAAUUGGUGAGACUAAACUCUCAGGAUAGAAAAACGCUUCGCAACAACGUCUAAUUUUCUUGCUUGGCUUAGAGAUCUCUUCCACCCAUGACUCCUUCACCCCAUACUCCUUCA
rnacentral:lncRNA from 1 species